rnacentral:rRNA from 1 species
AGUGAACGCUGGCGGUAGGCCUAACACAUGCAAGUCGAACGGCAGCACAGUAAGAGCUUGCUCUUACGGGUGGCGAGUGGCGGACGGGUGAGGAAUACAUCGGAAUCUACUUUUUCGUGGGGGAUAACGUAGGGAAACUUACGCUAAUACCGCAUACGACCUACGGGUGAAAGCAGGGGAUCUUCGGACCUUGCGCGAUUGAAUGAGCCGAUGUCGGAUUAGCUAGUUGGCGGGGUAAAGGCCCACCAAGGCGACGAUCCGUAGCUGGUCUGAGAGGAUGAUCAGCCACACUGGAACUGAGACACGGUCCAGACUCCUACGGGAGGCAGCAGUGGGGAAUAUUGGACAAUGGGCGCAAGCCUGAUCCAGCCAUACCGCGUGGGUGAAGAAGGCCUUCGGGUUGUAGAGCCCUUUUGUUGGGAAAGAAAAGCAGCAGGUUAAUACCCCGCUGUUCUGACGGGACCCAAAGAAUAAGCACCGGCUAACUUCGUG